AGGGUUUGAUCCUGGCUCAGGAUGAACGCUAGCGGCAGGCCUAACACAUGCAAGUCGAACGGUAACAUAAGAGCUUGCUCUUGAUGACGAGUGGCGCACGGGUGAGUAACGCGUAUGCAAUCUACCUAUAACUGAGGGAUAGCCCAGAGAAAUUUGGAUUAAUACCUCAUAAUAAUAUUUUUUGGCAUCAUUAAAUAUUUAAAACUUCGGUGGUUAUAGAUGAGCAUGCGUUCUAUUAGUUUGUUGGUGAGGUAAAAGCUCACCAAGACUACGAUAGAUAGGGGGCCUGAAAGGGUGAUCCCCCACACUGGUACUGAGACACGGACCAGACUCCUACGGGAGGCAGCAGUGAGGAAUAUUGCACAAUGGAGGAAACUCUGAUGCAGCCAUGCCGCGUGCAGGAUGACGGCCCUAUGGGUUGUAAACUGCUUUUUUACAAGAAGAAACCUUGGUACGUGUACCAACUUGACGGUAUUGUAAGAAUAAGCACCGGCUAACUCCGUGCCAGCAGCCGCGGUAAUACGGAGGGUGCAAGCGUUAUCCGGAUUUAUUAGGUUUAAAGGGUUCGCAGGCGGAAUUUUAAGUCAGUGGUGAAAGCCUACAGCUCAACUGUAGAACUGCCAUUGAAACUGAUAUUCUUGAGUAUAGAUGAAGUGGGCGGAAUAUGUCAUGUAGCGG
rnacentral:rRNA from 1 species